CAUAGAUUGAUCUUGGUGAUGCGUAGAAAAUUUUGAAUUUCUGCUACGUUCCCCAACAGAAUCCUCUCUCCCUCGAUCUCUCUCUGAGUCUUAGCCCUGUCUCUUCUAGGGUUCUCACACCGCCGACUCUGUCCGCCUCAUGCGGACCUACCGAAUGGCAAGGUGAAGCGAGAGCUCGGCUCUCAAGAGGCAGCCGGAGGAGAUGGUGGUGCCAUGGUCGCGGCGAGGGUGGCGUACAGUCCCAUAGUUGAGCUUGCCAUGAGAUUCGACAAGUGCGUGCUUCACUGCCCCCUCUGCACCCCCCUCCUAACUUCCUUAUUCCACACUCAGUUGGUGCCGUGAAGAUCGACUUGUACGGCGGGUGCCACGACGUGAUUAGCCUGUCCUACUAGACCCUCCUAUGCGUGCUCGCUCACCAUGCGGCUGGUCAAGUAGUGUCGUGCGCUGAGCGCUCCCCGUCCCAGGGGCCCUGACUCCCGACGCAUCCAACCGCACAAGGCGCUUGUGCCCGCUGCCCCUUUCCUCCAUGUCUGUGAGGAGAAUCCCUACAGUAUGCAUGUAUUUUGUUAAUCCCCUCUUAUAUUAUUUAAAUCUCAGCAAGACAACCACAUAUGAGCCAGGAACUGUAGCAUCCAUUGUCUUCUAUAUCUGCUUGCAUUAACUUUCCAUUACAAUUAGCCUGUGGGAUAUAUGAUGCGAGGGAACGAACAUGCCAUAAGGCACGGGUGAGUCCCCUGGGUGCUCUUUGCAUUACUAUUCUUCUUAUUCGGCUGAUUUUGAUCUUCUUAAUCCUUUUCUCAUUAAUACCAUUUGUAGUUUGUGAGAUCUUUCUCUGACCACAUGCAAGCCUAUGCUCCACCAUCCCAUUCUUUGUUAUGUUAUUUCCAACUUUAAGACAAUUUUAUCUUUCAAACCAAAAGUACAAUUUAUGAUCCGUUUGCAUAUUGUGAUUAUGACGAGGAGAACUUCAAAACAAUACCACUUUUGAAUGUGUUUCAGCAUGUUCUAAAAAAAUCAAAUUCUAAAGCAGAAUGAAACACUAUUAAAAGUUCAAAGUUUUGUUUGAAUAUCCCAUUAUUGAAUUGUUGCAUCAAAUUAUUAAAUUUAUAUGAAACAAGUUUGAAGCAUAUAUGAGUUUAUAUGAUAUAUGUUUUAUUAAUCUAUGUACACAAAGCCAAUGUUUUUAACAAAAAGAAAGAUUAUGCUUAUACUUCAUUAUGCAUCCUGUACAUAUAUAAUGGUAUAGAUAAUUCCAUUGCGUGUGAAUGAACGGCGCCUUGAGAAUGGCGCCAGAACAAAACCAUGGAAGCAAACUCCUUUUGCUUAUAUCACAAAUUUUGUGCCAUGGUGCAAAAAGAGAGCAAGUGCAUGUGUAUGUUCAGAUAUGAUGAAACCAAAUAAGGUUGCAACUAACAUGUUAUAUUGACUUUCAGUUAUGAACCUUAUGACUCUGAUGCUCUCAAGUUUGGCAACUGUUUGUACUAAGGGCCUGUUCGGCAAUGCUCCGGCUCUCAACUUCCAUUAACUCCGCAGUGAAGUUCAGGCGAACGAGCAAAUUCCGUGGAGCUCAAAUCAAGAAGCUUGCUAUUCUGUUAGUGCAAAUUUGAAGGAGUUGGGGAAGCUGCCUUUUUCUGGCUCUGUGAAAACGAAGAAGUUGGAGUUGAGCGUUAUUAUGAUUUGCUGCCAUCGCCAAGAUGGGUAUGAGUUGAGGAAGCGGUUUUUAUUAUACUUGCUAAAACAUCGUGGGAAUGAAGCUAAAGGCAACUUUCUUGAUAUUUAUGAAAGAAUUUCUUAAGCGCAUCAUCUAGAUAUUGAUAGUUUUGUAAUAGAUGUUUAGUUGGAACAUCGCUCAGUUUGUUACAUGGACAUGUCGUUAAUCUUUCUUUUUGUUAUCAAUUUACAUUGCAAAAAUGGACUUUAAUUAUUCAAUAA